rfam:Tupaia chinensis contig101020, whole genome shotgun sequence.
GUGCUUGCUUUGGUGGAACAUACACUACAAUUGGAAUGCUACAGAGAAGAUUAGCAUGGCCCUUGUUCAAAGGGACACACAAAUUAGGGAAGUAUUCAAUAUUUUU